rnacentral:rRNA from 1 species
CCUACGGGUGGCAGCAGUCGAGAAUCAUUCACAAUGGGGGAAACCCUGAUGGUGCGACGCCGCGUGGGGGAAUGAAGGUCUUCGGAUUGUAAACCCCUGUCAUGUGGGAGCAAAUUAAAAAGAUAGUACCACAAGAGGAAGAGACGGCUAACUCUGUGCCAGCAGCCGCGGUAAUACAGAGGUCUUAAGCGUUGUUCGGAAUCACUGGGCGUAAGGCGUGCGUAGGCUGUUUCGUAAGUCGUGUGUGAAAGGCGCGGGCUCAACCCGCGGACGGCACAUGAUACUGCGAGACUAGAGUAAUGGAGGGGGAAGCGGAAUGCGCGGUGUAGCAGUGAAAUGCGUAGAUAUCGAGAGGAACACUCGUGGCGAAGGCGGGUUCCUGGACAUUAACUGACGCUGAGGCACGAAGGCCAGGGGAGCGAAAGGGAUUAGAUACCCCAGUAGUC